rnacentral:rRNA from 1 species
AACGAACGCUGGCGGCAUGCCUAACACAUGCAAGUCGAACGAGCCCUUCGGGUCUAGUGGCGCACGGGUGCGUAACGCGUGGGAACCUGCCCUUAGGUUCGGAAUAACUCCCCGAAAGGGGUGCUAAUACCGGAUAAUGUCUUCGGACCAAGGAUUUAUCGCCUUUGGAUGUGCCCGCGUUGGAUUAGCUAGUUGGUAGGGUAAAAGCCUACCAAGGCGACGAUCCAUAGCUGGUCUGAGAGGAUGAUCAGCCACACUGGGACUGAGACACGGCCCAGACUCCUACGGGAGGCAGCAGUGGGGAAUAUUGGACAAUGGGCGAAAGCCUGAUCCAGCAAUGCCGCGUGAGUGAUGAAGGCCUUAGGGUUGUAAAGCUCUUUUACCCGGGAUGAUAAUGACAGUACCGGGAGAAUAAGCUCCGGCUAACUCCGUG